GGACUACUGGGGUAUCUAAUCCUGUUUGAUCCCCACGCUUUCGUGUAUGAGUGUCAGUAUAGGACCAGGUCGCCGCCUUCGCCGCCGGUGUUCCUCCGCAUAUCUACGUAUUUCACCACUACAUGCGGAAUUCCACGACCCUCUUCCAUACUCAAGUUUUGUAGUUUUGAAUGCACUUCUUGGGUUAAGCCCAAGGAUUUCACAUCCAACUUUCAAAGCCACCUGCACACGCUUUACGCCCAAUAAUUCCGAACAACGCUAGGACCCCCCGUCUUACCGCGGCGGCUGGCAC
rnacentral:rRNA from 1 species